rnacentral:rRNA from 1 species
GACGAACGCUGGCGGCGUGCUUAACACAUGCAAGUCGAACGAGUGGCGAACGGGUGAGUAAUACGUGGGUAACCUCCCCUCUUUUGGGGAUAAGCCUUGGAAACGGGGUCUAUUACCGAAUAGAGGGGGAUGGGCUCGCGGGCGAUCAGCGUGUUGGUGGGGGGAUGGCCUACCAAGGCGGUGACGGUUAGCCGGCCUGAGAGGGUGACCAGCCACACGGGGACUGAGACACGGCCCAGACGCCUACGUGAGGCAGCAGUGGGGAAUUUUGGACAAUGGGCGCAAGCCUGAUGCAGCCAUGCCGCGUGUAUGAAGAAGGCCUUAGGGUUGUAAAGGACUGUUGUUAGGGAAGCGGUACCUAAAGAAUAAGCACCGGCUAACUACGUGCCAGCAGCCGCGGUAAUUC